UGGUGGAACUUACUGCCCACCGGAAUGUCGGACUUCAGGACCCUGCAUGGGGCGUGUCCCGUCAUUCGAGGCACCAAGUGGGUGUCCAACAAGUGGAUCAAACACCACCCACAGCUCCACCGACGUCCGUGUCCUGUCAUCUAAAUGUGGAUCCCUGUCUGGCGUGGCCAUAAGGCUCAUGAACCUUUACAUAUAUACUUUAUGUUCUUGUUAUGCAAAUGUAUAUGUCUA